UACACUCCUGCGGGAGGCAGCAGUGGGGAAUUUUGGACAAUGGGCGAAAGCCUGAUCCAGCAAUGCCGCGUGUGUGAAGAAGGCCUUCGGGUUGUAAAGCACUUUUGUCCGGAAAGAAAUCCUUGGCUCUAAUACAGUCGGGGGAUGACGGUACCGGAAGAAUAAGCACCGGCUAACUACGUGCCAGCAGCCGCGGUAAUACGUAGGGUGCGAGCGUUAAUCGGAAUUACUGGGCGUAAAGCGUGCGCAGGCGGUUUGCUAAGACCGAUGUGAAAUCCCCGGGCUCAACCUGGGAACUGCAUUGGUGACUGGCAGGCUAGAGUAUGGCAGAGGGGGGUAGAAUUCCACGUGUAGCAGUGAAAUGCGUAGAGAUGUGGAGGAAUACCGAUGGCGAAGGCAGCCCCCUGGGCCAAUACUGACGCUCAUGCACGAAAGCGUGGGGAGCAAACAGGAUUAGAUACCCGAGUAGUCCCA
rnacentral:rRNA from 1 species